AUCUCUGGGGACGGCAGCUGCGACUGAGUCCACGGGCCGACGCUGAGCUGCUUAGGCCGAGGCUGUGCGCUCAGCCCGGAGCCCUCGGAACAGGCAUCUGCAGGGCUUGAGCCCACCUCGUAGACCCACCUGGCAGUAGAGGGACAAGAGGAGCUGGAGCUUGGAGACAGAGGUCUGAAAAGCUGGAGCUUCUCUUCAGCCUGCCCUGGAGGUCAUUCCAUGCAUCCCCUUUCUUCCCUCCCUAGAAGACAAGGGUCUCCGUCUUCACAGCCGUAAGGUGAAGCUCCGACCUCCUGGCUCUGUGAAGCCUGCGGGUCCCCCUCUGGGAGGGUGGGUGUGAUAA